ensembl:snoRNA
CUGCAAUGAUGGGAGUAUUUUUCCUUAAUAGUAGUUCACCUAGUGAGUGUUGAUACUUUGUGUCUGAGUGA